GAUGAACGCUGGCGGCGUGCCUAAUACAUGCAAGUCGAGCGAACGGACGAGAAGCUUGCUUCUCUGAUGUUAGCGGCGGACGGGUGAGUAACACGUGGAUAACCUACCUAUAAGACUGGGAUAACUUCGGGAAACCGGAGCUAAUACCGGAUAAUAUUUUGAACCGCAUGGUUCAAAAGUGAAAGACGGUCUUGCUGUCACUUAUAGAUGGAUCCGCGCUGCAUUAGCUAGUUGGUAGGGUAACGGCUUACCAAGGCAACGAUGCAUAGCCGACCUGAGAGGGUGAUAGGCCACACUGGAACUGAGACACGGUCCAGACUCCUACGGGAGGCAGCAGUAGGGAAUCGUCCGCAAUGGGCGAAAGCCUGACGGAGCAACGCCGCGUGAGUGAUGAAGGUCUUCGGAUCGUAAAACUCUGUUAUUAGGGAAGAACAUAUGUGUAAGUAACUGUGCACAUCUUGACGGUACCUAAUCAGAAAGCCACGGCUAACUACGUG
rnacentral:rRNA from 1 species